rnacentral:rRNA from 1 species
GACGAACGCUGGCGGCGUGCCUAACACAUGCAAGUCGAACGGGGGGAACAUGAAGUAUUUCGGUACGGAAUGCGCCCCUAGUGGCGAACGGGUGAGUAACACGUGGGCAACCUGCCCCAGACUGGGGGAUAACAUUGUGAAAACAGUGCUAAUACCGCAUGACAGGGUUCCGGGCAUCCGGGACCCUUGAAAGGAGAAAUCCGGUCAGGGAUGGGCCCGCGUCCAAUUAGCUAGUUGGCGGGGUAACGGCCCACCAAGGCGACGAUUGGUAGCCGAACUGAGAGGUUGAUCGGCCACAUUGGGACUGAGACACGGCCCAGACUCCUACGGGAGGCAGCAGUGGGGAAUAUUGGGCAAUGGGCGAAAGCCUGACCCAGCGACGCCGCGUGAAGGAUGAAGGUCUUCGGAUUGUAAACUUCUUUGAUCAGGGAAGAAAGAAAUGACGGUACCUGAAAACAAGACCACGGCUAACUACGUGCCAGCAGCCGCGGUAAAACCGUAGCGUG